GGUGGCUCAGUGGUAGAGUGCAGGUCUUGCAUUCCUGAGGCUCUGGGUUUGAUUCCUUAGCACCA
rnacentral:tRNA from 1 species